GGGGAAUUUUGGACAAUGGGGGCAACCCUGAUCCAGCCAUGCUGCGUGAGUGAAGAAGGCCUUCGGGUUGUAAAGCUCUUUCGGCCGGGAAGAAAUCGUGCAGGCUAAUACCCUGUAUGGAUGACGGUACCUUAUUAGAAAGCCACGGCUAACUACGUGCCAGCAGCCGCGGUAAUACGUAGGUGGCAAGCGUUGUCCGGAAUUAUUGGGCGUAAAGCGCGCGCAGGUGGUUUCUUAAGUCUGAUGUGAAAGCCCACGGCUUAACCGUGGAGGGUCAUUGGAAACUGGGAGACUUGAGUGCAGAAGAGGAAAGUGGAAUUCCAAGUGUAGCGGUGAAAUGCGUAGAGAUUUGGAGGAACACCAGUGGCGAAGGCGACUUUCUGGUCUGCAACUGACGCUGAGGCGCGAAAGCAUGGGGAGCAAACA
rnacentral:rRNA from 1 species